rnacentral:lncRNA from 1 species
GAGAAGGGAAAAGAAAACUCCCCUGAUCAUGGUGGCAGUCGCCAAUUUUGGACUUUCAGGGAGAUCUCUUCCACCACGGGAUCCAACAAAGAAGUCUUGAGGAGGAAUUGCUUCAGUCUUCAGAUUUGAUCAAGCAAGAAGAUGUCCUCCACAGAUGGAUCUAAGAAGCAGUGAUUGUUGAUGAGUGGGUUCAGUUGGUGCCCAUUGAUAUUCAAGCUUUUGUGUAUACUGACACCCUUGUCUUCCA